CACGUAGUUAGCCGUGGCUUUCUGGUUAGGUACCGUCAAGGCUUGUUCAGUUACUAACAAAUUUGUUCUUCCCUAACAACAGAGUUUUACGAUCCUAAGACCUUCAUCACUCACGCGGCGUUGCUCCGUCAGGCUUUCGCCCAUUGCGGAAGAUUCCCUACUGCUGCCUCCCGUAGGAGUCUGGACCGUGUCUCAGUUCCAGUGUGGCCGAUCACCCUCUCAGGUCGGCUACGUAUCGUUGCCUUGGUAAGCCGUUACCUUACCAACUAGCUAAUACGGCGCGGGUCCAUCUAUAAGUGACAGCCGAAACCGUCUUUCAACAUUGAACCAUGCGGUUCAAUAUAUUAUCCGGUAUUAGCCCCGGUUUCCCGGAGUUAUCCCAGUCUUAUAGGUAGGUUACCCACGUGUUACUCACCCGUCCGCCGCUAACAUCAGAGAAGCAAGCUUCUCAUCUGUUCGCUCGACUUGCAUGUAUUAGGCACGCCGCCAGCGUUCAUCCUGAGCCAGGAUCAAACUCU
rnacentral:rRNA from 1 species